GUUUGAAUAGCUUACAUAAAGCAUAGCACUGAAAAUGCUAAGAUGGGUUUUAAAACACCCUUCAAACA
rnacentral:tRNA from 1 species